GGCAGUUCUCGGGUGAAACACCCCAGGAUCAGGCAGCCUACUCUCUGGUUCCUGGUGCGUCACCUGAGAACCACA
rfam:Myotis brandtii contig193280, whole genome shotgun sequence.